rnacentral:lncRNA from 1 species
UGAAAUGAUGACGAUACAGCAUGUCGGUCUUAUGAGCUCUCUCCCUUUCUUCACAUUACAGGCCGCACCGAACCUAAGAAGUCAGGCUUCGACCGUGUUGGCACAACAACCAGCUUUCAAGUCAGAGAACAUAAGGUUCAAGGUGGCCAUUGAUGGUGUGUGGGUUUGAAAGGCACUGUAAUGAUGAGUAGCAGGAGGCUUGUUCAGGGAGGAAUUUGCAGUUGCAACAGCUAAUCAGUACACUUCAUCUUUGUUAAGCGUUUCAAUGAGACAAUCAGACAACUGCACAUACUCUUAACCUGAAACGGGUAUGUAGGCGUAACAUCUAAAGGACACUCCUACAAUAUAUCAUAACUUUAUCAGACAAUGAAACAUAGAUCAUGUCGAGGUUAAAAGGAAGAAGCACAUAUCCAAACAAUCUCUUGUAUGUCUUGACAUCAAUCUAUAGUGUUGUGAUACUUCUUCAGCAUCACCCGCAUACAUACUCAAAUGCUGAGUAAACGCCUGGGGAAAAGACAGAAAUAAACAAAAUCAAACCUAAGUGGGCAACUUAUAAAGAGCCUGAAGCAUAUUCCCAGUGAACCUUCAAGCUUCAAAAUGGCUCGGAGGAAUCAAAAAGAUGUAUUUCUUUGAAUAGCAUAUACUUGCCUAAACCAAGUAUUUUUCUUUUAUCAUUCCUACGGCAGUUCCACCUAGGCCAAGAGCUCAAACAAUAUCUGGAAUAAUAAAAUAAAUAGCAUUGUUAAUUAAAAAAAAUGUUCCACAAAAAUUCCUCAUAAGAUUUAUAAUACUCUUAAUCAUCUAGAGAAUCAAUUUUAUGGAUUCUCUUAUUCUACAAUAUAAGUGGAUGGUAAUGUAGUAUCUGAAACUUAGAAAAAAAAUAUUAUAGAUCUUUAUAAAUAAACAUGAACAUGAAUGAACUCAAAUUUCUAGACGAAAAACAAAAAAGCAGCUAACUUAUAAUAUACAAAACUGGUGAAUUUGAUUUGUGAAAACAGUUUGAAUCAGAGAAGAAGUGGUAGGCUAAUACAUGUAUUUUACAAUAUAGAAACAAUAUAGAGAAGAAUACAAUAGAAGGAGAUGAAGAAGACCCAUCGGAGGCAACUGACUGACGUGGAUUUGAGCUUUCGACCAUGAAACAAAAGUUGCUGUGAAUAAAAUAAAUUUACAAAAUUUAGUUGGGAGUGACCCACCAAACGUGAGACCCAUCAAAGGUUUUGUGACCCAACCAAAAAGUGGACCAUUAUGAUAGUUAACUAAUGAUGAAAUGAUGACGAUACAGCAUGUCGGUCUUAUGAGCUCUCUCCCUUUCUUCACAUUACAGGCCGCACCGAACCUAAGAAGUCAGGCUUCGACCGUGUUGGCACAACAACCAGCUUUCAAGUCAGAGAACAUAAGGUUCAAGGUGGCCAUUGAUGGUGUGUGGGUUUGAAAGGCACUGUAAUGAUGAGUAGCAGGAGGCUUGUUCAGGGAGGAAUUUGCAGUUGCAACAGCUAAUCAGUACACUUCAUCUUUGUUAAGCGUUUCAAUGAGACAAUCAGACAACUGCACAUACUCUUAACCUGAAACGGGUAUGUAGGCGUAACAUCUAAAGGACACUCCUACAAUAUAUCAUAACUUUAUCAGACAAUGAAACAUAGAUCAUGUCGAGGUUAAAAGGAAGAAGCACAUAU